rnacentral:rRNA from 1 species
AGUGAACGCUGGCGGUAGGCCUAACACAUGCAAGUCGAACGGCAGCACAGUAAGAGCUUGCUCUUACGGGUGGCGAGUGGCGGACGGGUGAGGAAUACAUCGGAAUCUACUUUUUCGUGGGGGAUAACGUAGGGAAACUUACGCUAAUACCGCAUACGACCUACGGGUGAAAGCAGGGGAUCUUCGGACCUUGCGCGAUUGAAUGAGCCGAUGUCGGAUUAGCUAGUUGGCGGGGUAAAGGCCCACCAAGGCGACGAUCCGUAGCGGGUCUGAGAGGAUGAUCAGCCACACUGGAACUGAGACACGGUCCAGACCCCUACGGGAGGCAGCAGUGGGGAAUAUUGGACAAUGGGCGCAAGCCUGAUCCAGCCAUACCGCGUGGGUGAAGAAGGCCUUCGGGUUGUAAAGCCCUUUUGUUGGGAAAGAAAAGCAGCAGGUUAAUACCCCGCUGUUCUGACGGUACCCAAAGAAUAAGCACCGGCUAACUUCGUG